rfam:Rhodotorula graminis WP1 unplaced genomic scaffold RHOBAscaffold_9, whole genome shotgun sequence.
GCGCAGGUGGUCGAGCGGUUCAAGACGAUGGCCUUAAGCGCGCCUCUGCGCGAGCGUAACCCAUUCUCGAAAGAGGUCGCGAGUUCGAAUCUCGCCCUGCGCA